UACGAAGGGGGCUAGCGUUGCUCGGAAUCACUGGGCGUAAAGCGCACGUAGGCGGAUUCUUAAGUCGGUGGUGAAAUCCUGGAGCUCAACUCCAGAACUGCCUUCGAUACUGGGAGUCUUGAGUCCGGGAGAGGUGAGUGGAACUGCGAGUGUAGAGGUGAAAUUCGUAGAUAUUCGCAAGAACACCAGUGGCGAAGGCGGCUCACUGGCCCGGUACUGACGCUGAGGUGCGAAAGCGUGGGGAGCAAACAGG
rnacentral:rRNA from 1 species